rnacentral:lncRNA from 1 species
UGGCUUUGCUGAACCAAUUAAAAUGUCAACUUUAUUCAAGUAAAAUUUCAUGUUCUAAACAACACCACAUUUGCAAGGGACAUAAGCAACAAGCUUGAAGCCUGAAACAGGCUUAGCUUAUAGUUCUUAAUUUGUAUUAUUUGGUCUCUACUUAGCUCAUAUUCAAUAUGCACAUAUUCCUCUUUAUUUUUUCUACUGAGUUGAAGACGCAGUCUCUCCCUUUCUGGGAUGCAUUUUGAGAAGAGGGUCCUACAAUUCAAAAGAUAACACUCUUAUAUUAGAUCAAGCAUGAUGUUUCCAUGCAACCUCAGU